rnacentral:lncRNA from 1 species
CAGGUAUGUGUGGAAGAAGCAUAGGCAAUUUCUGGGAAGAUUGAUGUCCCUGGCUAGGAGAAAUGUGUGAGAGACACAGCUGCCUGUUUUGGGUCAUAAUAAUGCCAUGUGCCUGAUGCAUGAACUUGUCUUCUUAAUUACAGAAACAUGAAAGAAUACAGGAAGCUCUUCAUGACCGCCAGGAAUCCCUGCACUAAUUAAGACACUAACUAGCUACUGGGCAAGCAGCAAGUGGGUCAAACAUCCACAGACAAGUCUAUUUUAUCUAUGAAGAAAUCACCUCUGGUCCCCUGCUUUAGCAUGAAGAAACAACGAAGAGUGCUGUAAAUGGCAAAGCCAUGGAUUCCAAUUUUCAGAAAGUCUCUGUGAAUGAACCUAUAAGAAAGGAAUGGAGCCAUCUGCCUCAUAUGUAUUGGUGUCAAUGGUAAGUUGCAUUGCAUUGUAGCUGCUCACCAUGCCCUGGCCUGUUUAGCUCAUUCCUUGAGUCAUGUUGGGUUGUUCUUUUAGGGCACGGGUGGGCAAUUAUUUCGGGCGGAG